ACCGGGCUACCAUAUUAUCCUAAAGAUAUAAUUAUGUUAACGACUUUUGCCUGUCAGCUGUCUCAAAGUCGCCCCUGGUAAGGUGCAGCUUCGCGAAAUCAACCAAUUUUGUGUAGUUGGAACAACAAGUUUUGUGUAGUCAUAUCAAACACACAACCCUUAGCGUUGAUAUAGCUGCAACUUUGUGUGCUGCUUGGCUAUGUACAGGCACACUGAACAUCGGCCUAUAUCACGCAGAGCCUUAGGUUAUUAGUUAGUCGGCGGAAGUGUGCUUCAGUCGGCCAUAGUCGUUGCCCAUUCGGUACUGGACGGCGGUCCAAAGGAGUACUGCCACAACAUCGCUUCACGCCACAGAACGAUUGUCUAACAUAAUCAAUAUCUACUAUGGCAAAGAGAUAACCGUCCGUCAUUUCCCGCUUGAGAGGGAGACAAUUAAAUACAUACCUCAAAUGAUAAAAGACAAAUAUGCAGGACUGUUUACAGGUUUGCCACAGGAAUGAUGGAACGAUGCUUGGCAAUGACUUGAAGACAGAGGUCGAUCAUAUUAUUGAACGACUCC